rnacentral:rRNA from 1 species
UACGUAGGGUGCGAGCGUUAAUCGGAAUUACUGGGCGUAAAGCGUGCGCAGGCGGUUGUGCAAGACAGAUGUGAAAUCCCCGGGCUCAACCUGGGAAUUGCAUUUGUGACUGCACGGCUCGAGUGUGUCAGAGGGGGGUAGAAUUCCACGUGUAGCAGUGAAAUGCGUAGAGAUGUGGAGGAAUACCGAUGGCGAAGGCAGCCCCCUGGGAUAACACUGACGCUCAUGCACGAAAGCGUGGGGAGCAAACAGG